CCUACGGGUGGCUGCAGUGGGGAAUAUUGGACAAUGGGGGGAACCCUGAUCCAGCCAUGCCGCGUGUGUGAAGAAGGCCCUCGGGUUGUAAAGCACUUUCAGUGAGGAAGAACGCCUGGUGGUUAAUACCCAUCAGGAAAGACGUCACUCACAGAAGAAGCACCGGCUAACUCCGUGCCAGCAGCCGCGGUAAUACGGAGGGUGCGAGCGUUAAUCGGAAUUACUGGGCGUAAAGCGCGCGUAGGUGGCUUGAUAAGCCGGUUGUGAAAGCCCCGGGCUCAACCUGGGAACGGCAUCCGGAACUGUCAAGCUAGAGUGCAGGAGAGGAAGGUAGAAUUCCCGGUGUAGCGGUGAAAUGCGUAGAGAUCGGGAGGAAUACCAGUGGCGAAGGCGGCCUUCUGGACUGACACUGACACUGAGGUGCGAAAGCGUGGGUAGCAAACAGGAUUAGAUACCCCUGUAGUC
rnacentral:rRNA from 1 species